rnacentral:misc_RNA from 1 species
GAUGAAGAACGUAGCGAAAUGCGAUACGUAAUGUGAAUUGCAGAAUUCAGUGAAUCAUCGAGUCUUUGAACGCACAUUGCGCCCCCUGGUAUUCCGGGGGGCAUGCCUGUCCGAGCGUCAUUGCUGCCCUCAAGCACGGCUUGUGUGUUGGGCCGCCGUCCCCGGUUUCCCCCGGGGACGGGCCCGAAAGGCAGCGGCGGCACCGCGUCCGAUCCUCGAGCGUAUGGGGCUUUGUCACCCGCUCUGUAGGCCCGGCCGGCGCCAGCCGACACCCAACUUUAUUUCUAAGGUUGACCUCGGAUCAGGUAGGGAUACCCGCUGAACUUAAGCAUAUCAAUAAGCGGAGGA